rnacentral:ncRNA from 1 species
CAGAUAUGGAAAAGAUUGACAGAUGAUAGCUCUUUCUCAAUUCUGUGAGUGGUGGUGCAUGGCCAUUCUCAGUUGGUGGAGCAAUUUGUCUGGUUAAUUCUGAUAAUGAAUGAGACUCUGGCACCUCUGUAAUAUGAGACUACUAAUGUACACACAUACUAUUUUAAUAACUAAGUUAACCUCCCUAUAAACUAGUGAAAGGGAUCCUGGUCUUCACUAUACCCCACAACAUUAACAGCAGCAGCAAUAAUAGGAGUUUCUAUCUCAGUU